rnacentral:rRNA from 1 species
UACGUAGGGUGCAAGCGUUAUCCGGAAUUACUGGGCGUAAAGGGCUCGUAGGCGGCCAACUAAGUCGGAUGUGAAAUCCCCAGGCUCAACCUGGGAACUGCAUCCGAUACUGGAUGGCUUGAAUCCGGGAGAGGGAUGCAGAAUUCCAGGUGUAGCGGUGAAAUGCGUAGAUAUCUGGAGGAAUACCGGUGGCGAAGGCGGCAUCCUGGACCGGCAUUGACGCUGAGGAGCGAAAGCCAGGGGAGCAAACGGG